GACGAACGCUGGCGGCGUGCUUAACACAUGCAAGUCGAGCGGUAAGGCCCUUUCGGGGGUAUACGAGCGGCGAACGGGUGAGUAACACGUGGGUGACCUGCCCUCAGCUCUGGGAUAAGCCUGGGAAACUGGGUCUAAUACCGGAUAUGACUCCAUGACGCAUGUUGUGGGGUGGAAAGCCUUGUGCGGCUGGGGAUGGGCCCGCGGCCUAUCAGCUUGUUGGUGGGGUGAUGGCCUACCAAGGCGACGACGGGUAGCCGGCCUGAGAGGGCGACCGGCCACACUGGGACUGAGACACGGCCCAGACUCCUACGGGAGGCAGCAGUGGGGAAUCUUGCGCAAUGGGCGAAAGCCUGACGCAGCGACGCCGCGUGAGGGAUGACGGCCUGGUGUAAC
rnacentral:rRNA from 1 species